AUUGAACGCUGGCGGCAUGCCUUACACAUGCAAGUCGAACGGCAGCACGGGAGCAAUCCUGGUGGCGAGUGGCGAACGGGUGAGUAAUAUAUCGGAACGUGCCCAGUCGUGGGGGAUAACGUAGCGAAAGCUACGCUAAUACCGCAUACGAUCUAUGGAUGAAAGCGGGGGAUCGCAAGACCUCGCGCGAUUGGAGCGGCCGAUAUCAGAUUAGGUAGUUGGUGAGGUAAAGGCUCGCCAAGCCGACGAUCUGUAGCUGGUCUGAGAGGACGACCAGCCACACUGGGACUGAGACACGGCCCAGACUCCUACGGGAGGCAGCAGUGGGGAAUUUUGGACAAUGGGCGCAAGCCUGAUCCAGCAAUGCCGCGUGCAGGAUGAAGG
rnacentral:rRNA from 1 species